CGUAAUUAUUAACUCCAUAAAAAAAAUUAAUUCCAACUCUAAGCUCCUUCUCUUUCUUUUUCCUUUUCAGGGUUCGAUGGCGGGUAUCAAGAGUUAGGACCACUGAUGGCAGCUAAUGGACAAGGUUCUUCCCAAAGAGCCAGGACAAACAAAAGGCAGUAAGUCGACACCACAAAAACAAUCGACGAGAAAAAAAAGUGGAUACCUAACCUCGAAAUGAGCUCAAUUCAACGAGGGAUCCUGCACUGCAACACCAGG